AGAUUAAGUUAUUAAGGGCGCACGGUGGAUGCCUUGGCACUAGAAGCCGAUGAAGGACGUUACUAACGACGAUAUGCUUUGGGGAGCUGUAAGUAAGCUUUGAUCCAGAGAUUUCCGAAUGGGGAAACCCAGCAUGAGUUAUGUCAUGUUAUCGAUAUGUGAAUACAUAGCAUAUCAGAAGGCACACCCGGAGAACUGAAACAUCUUAGUACCCGGAGGAAGAGAAAGAAAAUUCGAUUCCCUUAGUAGCGGCGAGCGAAACGGGAAGAGCCCAAACCAACAAGCUUGCUUGUUGGGGUUGUAGGACACUCUAUACGGAGUUACAAAGGACGACAUUAGACGAAUCAUCUGGAAAGAUGAAUCAAAGAAGGUAA
rnacentral:rRNA from 1 species